rnacentral:misc_RNA from 1 species
CGCACCUUGCGCUCCUUGGUAUUCCGAGGAGCAUGCCUGUUUGAGUGUCAUGAUAUUCUCAACCCAUAAAUCUUUGUGGUUUACGGGAUUGGACUUGGAGGCUUGUCGGCUUAGUUGGUCGGCUCCUCUCAAAUGCAUUAGCUUGGUUCCUUGUGGAUCGGCUCUCGGUGUGAUAAUUGUCUACGCCGUGACCGUGAAGCGUUUGGCGAGCUUCUAACUGUCUUUUUUUUUGAAGACGACUUGUUGACCUCUGACCUCAAAUCAGGUAGGACUACCCGCUGAACUUAA